rnacentral:rRNA from 1 species
UGGGAGGUAAAUUUCUCCUAAGGCUAAAUAACGGCGAGAGACCGAUAGCGAAUAAGUACCGUGAGGGAAAGAUGAAAAGAACUUUGAAAAGAGAGUUAAACAGUACGUGAAAUUGUUGAAAGGGAAACGAUUGAAGCCAGUCGUACCCAUGGGUAAUCAGCCUUUUGGGUGUGAUUUUGUGGAGCGUGAAGAGCUAAACGCCUUCAUGCCUGCAUAUUCGUGCACUUUAGGUGUACUUGCCCGUGUGUAAGUUAACAUCAAUUUUGGUGGUCAUAAAAUGGCUGGAGGAAUGUAGCUUCGAUCUCGUAUUGAAGUGUUAUAGCCUUCGGUAGAUGUGACGAUCGGGAUUGAGGAUUGCAACGGAUACCCUUCGGGGCUACCUGUCUGAUCUCUGAUUGUUGCUCUGGUGCCGAAAGCUUGCUUACGGUUAUCAAAGUCGAUGGUCAAUAGGUUAGAACGGGUUAAAUUCGUUAAGGAUGUUGACGUAAUGGCUUUAAACGACCCGUCUUGAAACACGGACCAAGGAGUCUAACAUAUAUGCGAGUGUUAGGGUGAAUAAACCCUUACGCGUAAUGAAAGUAAUUUUGGUGGGAUCGCUUUUGCGCACCAUCGACC